AUGGAACGAAGAAAGAAAAGGUUAGGAGGAAAACGGGAAGAGGGAGAGGGGAAGAGGAAGGAAGGCGCCGGCGGGCAGCACUGCCGCCGCGCCGUCGUGUUACCGCCGAAGGAGAGGAAGCCGUGGACCAUGGUCACGGGUGGAAGAGAGAGCGCGAGCCAGGGCACGCGAGACGGAGCCGCCACUGCUGGGUCGCCGUCCAUCCUCGUCCCACCGCGUCUCGCGAUCACCGCCGCCGCGCCAGUCACCCUUCGAGCUUGCCAUCAAAGACGUCGCGUCUCUGUCAUGCGAGGGGAGUGUGACCCACCGCGCGGAGCUGCGCUGCCGUGCAUGUCCGCUGUCGUCACUGACUGACCAGCCCGUCGCGUCGCCGCCGUCAAAUCCGUCCCUUGCCGCCGCCGUUGAAGCUGCGAACAGAGAAGAGGGAAAGGGAUGAGUCGCGCGGAAGCUACCUGCGUCACCACUGGAGGGGAGAUCUGCGCCGUUACUGCGGUUUAUGCCGCCGGAAUUGCUCUGCCGCCACCAGAAUUUCUGGUCGCUGCCGUUUUGUGGCUGUCAUAAGUUACGUUGUCGCUGCCGGAUAAGCUGUUGUGGUCGCCGGAACCAUCACCGGAGCUUCUGCAGUUUGAUUCAGUCUUUAAUCCUUUCUCACGGGUCAAGCUCCGGUAAUUGCGGGUCACGAUUAAAGC